UAAAUGAAGACCAUGGGCAUCCUAGAAUUUAUCAAUAUAACUUGGGUCUUCUAUCAGCUUGGAUAGACUAUGUAGGCAGCUUUGAGCUCCUUAUUUCAAUUGAGAGGGCAACAGAGAUGGUGGGGAUUGGAAUACUGGAAAAAAUAAAGCCGCAGAAAAAGGAGGCGGAGAGGAAAAGAGAUGAUUUUUGGAUUGAGACAUGGGAUUCCAUUGCACAGCAGUAUCGGUUUGAUAGAGAUGACCAUCUCUCUGUGAAGAAGGUCAAUGAUUCAAGGCCAUUUGGGACCCAUAUAUUGGAAUCCUUCCUGAAUAAAUUUUUCCCUGCUGGAUAUCCCCAUAGUGUAAAUGAAGGGUACCUGACAUAUACUAAAUUUAGGGCUUUGCAACAUGUUUCCAGUGCCGCACUCUCAGUGCUAUCAACACAGUCAUUGCUGUUUGCUGCAGGCCUGCGGCCUACCCCAGCACAGGCAACAGCUGUAAGCUGGGUCAUCAAGGAUGGAAUGCAACAUGUUGGGAAACUCAUAUGUAGCAAUAUGGGUGCAAGAAUGGACUCGGAACCAAAGCUUUGGCGGAUACUAGCUGAUGUGCUCUAUGAUUUGGGUACUGGCUUGGAAGUUCUUUCUCCAUUAUGCCCUCAACUUUUUCUCGAAAUGGCCGGCCUGGGCAACUUUGCAAAGGGAAUGGCGGUUGUUGCAGCAAGAGCUACAAGGUUGCCAAUAUAUUCUUCAUUUGCUAAAGAGGGCAAUCUUAGUGACCUGUUUGCCAAAGGAGAGGCCAUCUCCACUCUCUUCAAUGUUGUGGGAUUAGGAGCAGGCAUUCAGUUGGCAUCAACUGUUUGUUCAUCAAUGCAAGGAAAGAUGAUAGUGGCUCCCUUGCUUGCUGUUCUACACGUUUACAGUGUGACUGAAGAGAUGCGAGCAGCUCCUGUUAACACGUUGAAUCCACAACGAACUGCUAUGAUUGUAGCCGACUUCCUCGAGGAUUGCGCAAGAAAGGAUGGCAUACUGAUCAGUUUUUGGAUGGGACGGGGACCCGGUUCUCCUGGUAUUAUGAUGCAAAGUUUUCAUAGAAGAGAUUAUAGCUUGGGGCAACCAACCUCAAUUAGUUGGAAAAAAGCUUUGACGAUGAUGAUUAUAACUUGGGGCAGAAAUGUCGACUUUGACAGUUCAUCUCACGUCUUGUAGAAUGAGGAGAAUUUGCAAUGCUGCAGGUCUCUCUCUCGCAUAUGCAGGAAAGAUCAAAUGCACGCACCCAUGGAUAGAGGAAAAAUGACGUUAAAGAAUAGAAACUAACGAGUGGCAAAGAGACAAUUGCAUUUUCUUAGUGUGCACGUGUGCAGUACACUCCGUUUGGAUGCUCUUUUGUCCCUAUUAAACAAUGGAACUAAGAUGUGGUUGAAGAGUGCUUUGCAGGUCCGGCCACCCCAAUCUAACCUCAUCCGUUGCCACCCCUACCCCCGUGCUAGGCAUUGGACUUAAAGAAACUGGUUAUCCAGGAGUAAGCGCAAGUCCUUUUGUUUUCUUUUCGUUUUUAAUACAUGUUCACGUUGUGAUUUGUGUUUUCCAAGUAAGCAGGGACUAGAAAGGCGCUUGUUCUUGAUUAGCUGGGAAUGGACCAAACAAUGGCAUAUUUCUAUUCAGCAAUGAAUGGGGCGAGAAACAACUUAUUUAGGAAUUAGUGGCCUCCAAACUGGGCCCAAGUAAUUGCCAUUUUGCCAUUCAACAGUUGUGGUUUUGUAAGCCCAUUUUCCAUUCAUUCCAUACAGGAUGGAAAAAUGGCUAUCUGAGAGAGAGAGAGAUCCAUUCAUUCCAUACAAGAUGGAAAAAUGGGUAUCCGAGAGAGA